rnacentral:lncRNA from 1 species
GCUCAGCUCUUUGAAGAACCUGCACUAGUUCACAAUUGCUGUUUGUUGGCAUUGCUGGUUGGCAAAGCACUGUGGUCAGUACCCAAAUGGAUGCUCUCCAUAUGAGCACCAUGGCACAUCAAACGUACCUGUGGGAGUUUGUCUUCCUGUGACUUGAGAAGAGUUGAGAUCUCAUCUUUCACUGCAGUGUCUUCAGGAGUAUUUGAUGGAUCCCCCUCCUGCAGCUCAUGGCUUCUCUCCAGGCUGAAUAGUUCCUCACUAGCUUGUCUGUCUGCUUUUCAUGCCUCAGAGCCAGCUGCAGUAUUCACACAGGAGCCCUCUUACUAUAAAUAUGCACAAUUUGUCCAUAUGGCUUUUGGAGCUCUCUUUAAACAUUAUGGUUCUACAAGCUAAUAUUAAGACCAUGGCUUCUUUGCUCUGUUUCCAAACCCUGCCCUCACCUUGAGAUUUGGGUUUUGAUGUUACCUCUGCUCCUUGAUGAAACAUCCACAAACCCUGGUGGGUCAUCACUGCACCCUGCUGAUAAGUAGAAUGGGGUAAGCUGUGCCUGGCUUAGAAACAACUUAACAUACCCUGGAGAUUUUGCCUGACCAGCUCAUCAGCUAUGUUGAAUUCAUUAGAGAGUAUGGAACAACCUGUGUGCAUCCAUGGAGAGAAACAGUUCUGAAAACUCUUUGUCUGAGUGAAUUAUCCGGAGUUUUCACUUUGGCUGGCUCUAACCUGGUCCUGUGGCUGGAAGACGUUAGAUAUUCUCCCAGAGGGCAUCCUGGGGCUACUUCACCAGAAUGUGCCCUGCUGCUGUGUGUGUUCUGCUGCUGCGUCACUGCAUGGAGAGCAGGGACAGCUGAGCCAUUCCUGGCUUGGACUAACACACUAACGCAAAUGCACCACAGGCUGUACAUGAGCAACUCUUCCGAGUUGCCAGAAGAGCUUUUGGUUUUGCCGUGUAUGCAGCUAUGACUCAGUGAAGCUUUUGUUUUGUGUGUCCUACUUUUAUAUUUCUAAUACCCAUCCUCACAGACAAGAAGGCUGUAUUUAUUAGAUUCUCAGAGAUGAAGAAGGCUGAAAAGGAGAGCACAUGCUGUUUUAAUUCUUGCUCCCCUUUUAAAGCUUGAAAAUGUUUGCUUGUUCUGUAGGGAAGGAAACAAUAAAAAUUUAACAACUAGAUAAAAAGUUAG